GUUUUCAUGGCGUAGUUGGUUAUCGCAUCCGUCUAACAUCUGGUUCGUCCAUGAUGAAUUGUGUGCACGGAAGGUCCUCAGUUCGAGCCUGGGUGAAAACA